CCCUCCCCUGUGUCUUUUAAGAAGUUGAUAUUUUUCUGGCAUUAAUUGUCUGAUUUGCUGUUCGUGGAUUCGAUGCGAGCAGUUGGUUCGUGCUGGGGCCCAGCUGCCCAGUACCAGAUCUCUGAUAACAGCAGUAGUUUGGGGAGGGUGCAAAAAUCUUUUUAAAUGAGAGGCAAUAAAUAAUUUUUUUCCUAUAAGGAGUGGGACUAAACAAGUGUAGAUUAGACUGAUAGUCUUUUUUGCAUCUCUUAGUCAAGAUUAAAAAAUUCUGAUGCCUUCUUUCUCUUUAUAUAGGAUAUAAAAGGUGUUUCUCUGGGUGUUCUUCUACAAGAGAUGCCUCUUUUUUAAUCUUUCAUUUGACAGCCCAGUUCCUUUGUGAAACCACAUUCUGGUGUCAGUGUGGGGAAAGGAAAAAAUAAUUUUAACAAUGGAUGAGAAGACACUUCAGGCUUUCUGCAUAAUUAAUUAUAGUCAUUUAAAAUCUUGAGCAAAGUCUAUGCUUGGAGAAGUUCUAAGUUAUAAUUAAGCCAAGCUGCUAACGAUGGAUCUAAUUGUUGGGUUACAGACAGGCACAGGUAACACGAGUUGGGCCACUGACACCAGAUAUUUUACCCAAUUGUUUUCUGUUGAUGCAGCUAAUUCCACACAACUGUUCCAGCAGCUGGAAUGACCAUCAUGGGAUGGGUGUGGAUGCAUGUCAAGAGUUUUCCCUGACAGACUUUACUGGCCCAAGGUCAUUGGUCUUUACAGGUACCAUGUCCUCCCUAGUGCUGGCUGUCAGAAAGCUCCCUGGAGCACAGCUGCUUUAACCCUGCUGCUGCUGAACCCCAGCCAUGACAGACUGGAGACAGGAGAAUGGAUCAGCUGUUAAGAUGACUCUGCCAAUUCCCUCUUUCUAUGCCAUGUCUUUCUGAAGAAUGGAAGUAUUGUCAUUGAGAGGAAAGUCAAAUCCAACAGUGCAGGCAGGCUUUGGUAUUGCACUGGUGAGUCUGCUUUUAAAACCAAACAGUAAUCUUCUUCCUCUCUGUCCCCCCUCCAAAGGAUUUCCAUCUCUUCAGAGUGAUAGAAGUAUCAAAUCAUGCCUGGACAGACUUUCCUCUUACUAUAGAUCUAGCGCUGGUUGCCUGUACAGUUUUUCCUGUCCUGAGGGAUUAGGACACUGAACUCUUUCCAACUCAACUGCAUCAGUGUGCUGAAGAUGUGAAGACUGAGUGUAUGGAACAGAGGAAAGAGGAGAGAGAACUUCAUGCAGAACAUCUAAGAAGCUUUAGCUUCAAUCAUAUCUCUGUGAAAGCUGCUGCACAUAACACAAGCCUCAGACAACUCGAGUUGUUGUUAAUUAACGUCUUGAUGAAAACGAAGUCUUUGCCAUCUGUUCCUCCACCUCACUACGAAUGCUGCUCUCAUGGUGAUUAUGUAAGUAAAAAUGAAAAUAUAUUUUGGUAGAGUGCUGCAUGGCACUGUGCUGAUUCUUCUCCUGUUUCUAUUUACCAUUCCCUGCCCCCACCCCACAAGGAAAGGAAAAGGCGACAAUUGUUUGACUCCUCGCAGCUUUAUCCUGGAGCUGCCGUGCUGGCUGCCAAGCCCUGUGCUGUGGGAGCAGCCACCUCACCCCUGCUGCGUUUGAGCCGUGAGCCCUUUGCAAACCCUGAUUAUUAUUAGGUUCAUGAAAAAGCCGUGGUGGGAAGAUGCCCCUUAAGCUGAAGUUGCUCUAAAUUCUUGUGAGGGGUUAACUUGAAAUGCAGAAGAAGGAACGUGAAAAGGAAGGCCUGGUUACUCCAUAAGUGAUAGCCUGACCUCUGGGAGCAGCCUGCUGCUCCUGUUACAAGCGUGGCCUCUAUCUGUCCAAGGGUGGAGAAGGAGAGGAGGGGUAGCUUUCCUGUAAGUGGGUUAGAGCAAUUACUGAGGUCUCUUACAGCAAAUGAAGUUGUCAGUGUGAGUCACAUUCCCUUUUUUCUCUCACUGCCAAGUUUUAGGCACUAACCAGACAGCGGGAGAAAAAAAAAAAAAAAGGAAAAGCAACAAUGGGGAAAAGUUGAACUGGAACAACCCUUCAUUCGUGGUAUUGUUUGAUGUUUUAGCUCUGAUUGUACAUAGAGAUAAAGGAUCUAUAAAUAUCCUGUCUGCUGAAAUUCCUUAUCACAACAUGGCCUGUCAGCUGAACAAAUAGGUUAGGCUCUCCAAUAAUACAUAAUUACAUAUGUAAAUACAAAAUUACCCAUUAAAUUCCUGCAAUGCCACAUGCAGUGGAGCCUCAUCACUGGAGGACAUUAACCUCUUGUGGUGCACUAGAGCUGUCAGCCUCAGGACAGCGAGUGGCACAUGCAGCUGUCAGUGCUGAAACAGCAGGAGCUCAGAGACUGGGCUGGAAUCAGCAAGGAGAUAUUUAUCUGCAUGACUAGACUAGAUGAAAGCAUCUUCUGACACUUUUUGAAAGUAUCUGAGCAUUUAGCUCUGUUUAGCAAAUGUCUGGAAGCUUUUCUACUCUGCUUUAGAGCUUUUAAUGAAGCAUUGUGAUUCCCAUUGUGGUCAAUUGUUUGACACUUUUAUUAUUACUGGUAUGCAGAGUGUUUUUUAAUGUUUGACAGCUGGAGAAAGAAGUAUUUUGUGCAUUGAAACUUUUAGCACAAAGCUGCUGUUUUCCAUUCUGCCUUUGUCUUUUAUUCUUGCUGAUGCAAAUCAACGAAAGACAGAACUGAUUAAAUUACAUUUGUUUACUUCUUCCUUGAUGAUAAUAAGACACAGCCUGCCUUUUAUAAAAGGCAGAAAUAGAGGAUGUGACUGUUUCUACAGUAUUUCUAGAAAGGCUUUUUUUCCCCCCUUACAAUAUAAAGGCAUUUAUUUGUUUCUAAUGUCUUGAUUUACCAGAUAAUGCGCACUUCCUAAUGUGUGUGGAACAAGAAUAGAGCUAUGAAGGACAGUUAGCAAUGGAUUCCAUUUGGAAAGCUUCUAUCUUGUUAUUUUUAUUAAUCCAACAGUAUAAAUUAGCAGAACACAUCACAAAACAAACACAGCAAGAUACUUCUGUCCUUCACAGUAGGGCUGCUGAUCAUUGCACAAAGCAGUGCCCUCCAUUGCAGGCUUUGGGUUUAUACAGCCACAGUCCUGCUACUGGGUCCUGCCUUCAGGGCACUGCUACCACUGGAGAGAGAGGAGAGGCACAAAUAGGAUCCCCAGGAUUGUUUUGGUGAGUAAUGUGCAUGUCUUGGAGAUUGUGUAAUACCUUUUUUUGAACACUUGUCCUGAGAAAGGAAGACUGGGUUUGUCUGUCUUGCUUGUGCAAUUUGCAAGGGAAAAGAUCCUGCAGCAGGAGGGCAUUUCUUGUGGAAAGGCCCUCCUGAUCCAGGCAGUUUGUGAGAUGGUAGGACAACAUUACCAGCAGCACAGAGAAUUGCAGCAGGGAGACUUUGGGAAGCAUAAAUGGCAGAAACAUGAGAAGCAGAGGAUGAGCAGAAAGGAGGUGGUUAUGGAAGUCAUUACAAAACUGCCCUCAUUGCUUUUUCCUGCAUUUUUCAAAAACAGAGAGAAGUGCAGCAAAGGAUGGCAAAGGCAAGAGAAGUGUCUGAAGGUUUCUCAGCAGUGCAGUCAAACCUCCUGAUUUUACAGCUGAAACUAGUCUUAGGGAGUGAUAUCACCUGGCAGCUGAGCCAAAUCUAAAGGACUGCUGGUAUCAAAAUGAUGCUUCUGCUUCCAGUCCUGCUGUUUUCUUUGUACGGGUCUGGUGCUUGUCUGACUCUUUAAUGAGCUCAUGCAGUUCAGUAAACUGCAAGAAAAUGAAUUCAGUAAAAAAUACGCCAGUCCAGACAAGAAGAAUUGGACACUGUAAGAAUGGAGACUGCAACGAAUGGGAGAAGCAUGAACAUCAGAAUUUUGCUGCACAUUUGGGGUGUUUUAGGGAGUACCUUGCUCCUCGUUGGUGCUUUACCUCCUACUUCACCUCCUAGGUGGGGCUUCCCUCAAAAGGGCACAGGAUGAACACGCCUGAGUAGGGAGGCUGACUGGAGAGGUGAAGGAAGGUCCCCCAGCAGCACCAGCUCCUGGGGCAGAGGGAGGACAGAAUGAGACUGCAGCAGCAGCCCAGCAGGAUGUGGAGAAGAGUGUAGUGCAAGAGGAACCAAGAAGGAAAAGGGACACAUACACAGAGUAACCACAGAAGGUUACUGCAGCAAGCACUGGAAAAAUGCUUGGGUAUAGAGCAAUGGUCCCAUCUUCCUAAUCUAGCUCUUAAGGGGUUUAUUCUCAUGUAUCCAUGUAGCUGCCCCUGAAGGUGCUUAUGUCCCUUAUUUAGCCAUACAUUUCUCUAAAGAGGGUUUUGAUAAGAGGACAGCUGCUGCAUUUUUAUUAUCUAUGAUAAGCAGCACUAAAAUCAGUUUAGAGUUCAUGAUGGAAAUGUAUCUAUAUAUUGGCAUUUUUCCAGCUGCACUGCACAAAGGUAAAUGGGACAUGAGAUUGGUGCACUGCCCCCUUUUAAUCCAUUUUCUCUAGACAGGGGCACUUUGCCUCUCUGCAGGAAAGGCCAGCGCAGCUACUGUGCUAAUAAACACUCAUUCCUCACUGCAGCAUCUGCACUUCCCAGACUCAUAAAUCCAAGCAACUUGUAGUUGAAUAGCAAUUAAAUAUCCACGUGCAUUUCCAUACCACGGUCUGGUGCACAAGGCAUAGGCUAAGUGGCUGCACAUCUGCUGUCUGCUCCCCCACACGUGCUGCUUGGCAGAGCGUGGUCACUUAACCUUAUCCUGCCACCAUUAAUGGCAUAUGGAACAUUGGAUGCAGAGCAUCAUCCUACAGAUAUUUUGCCAUAUCUUUCUAAAAGAAUGAUGUUCCUUUUUGUGUGUUUUGUUGUUUGUUAUUUUUUUAAAGCAGCCUUUAUUCUCUCUCUCUCAGGAUUUCCAGGCCAGGGAUUCAGGUGGGCUGUUAACAUCAGUUGGAAAUGAGACAUCAUAUUGAAAAGUUAGUUGAGAUUCAGGACACUGAUACAUCCUCACAACAAUUUUGUGUCACUUGUACAAAACCCAGAGACUUGGUAAUGCAGUAAGAUAAAUGCAGUGCCUGGUUACAGUGGAUGUAUUGCACUUAUAAAAGGCAUCUCUUAUCAUGAGGCUCUGGUAUCUGCAGUAAUAACCACCAUAUGUCAGGUAAGACAAAGAUAAUGUGAGCCAGAUCAUUUUUCCCAUUGUUAAAACUUCCAAAAACCUAAAAGCUACAAAUGUCUUAAUUAUUAAUUCAAUUUUGCUACAUCUAGUGCUGGUAGCUGGAGGGAACAUCUUUCUGAGGUUCAAUCUUUCCUCUUGUCUAACUGAUAUGAGUCUGUGUGGCAGAGUUUUAAAUGCUAUAGCCAUUUACAGUACAGUAAUUGCCCAUCUUGCAUUUCUAUGCAGCAGGAUUUUACCACAUGAAACUGCAGUUCAGAUGUUCCCAUCUUGAACAAAAGGAUAGCCUUGUAGUUUGCUUUGAACUUAGCAGUGAAUUUACCAGUGGUGAAGCUGUAUGAGGCCCCAGCCUGUCUUGUGUCUGACUGUACAGUGUUGUGGUUGUGCAGUUACCUUUCAAAAUGCUUAUUCUCUAUGGAACUGGCAGAAACCUUGAAUUCCCUCCCCAACCCCCACCCCGUGUGUCUGUCAGCUGCAGACCAAGUCCUAGCCAGAUCACAAGAACAUCCUGAAUCAGUCACAAUAAUUUGCAUUUCCUCGCCAAAGAUUUUAUCUGCUGGGGGUGCAAAUUGUGCCAUCAAGGUUUCUGGUGUUGAAUAAUCUGCACCCUUCUGCUCUCCAGCUCUUCCUUUCCCAGCUAGGUUAAUUUAUCCAGAGGAAUUAAUUGAGGGAACAAAGCUGACAAGUUAGAAAGGCCACACAGCAAGACAGCACCACUCUGAACAUGAGCACAAUUUGUGUAUUUGAUUAGGUACCUCAGCACUGGCAGAUUGUUGUUAAAAGCAAAUCUUACUUUUGCCAUUUCCAUACAAGACUCUGCUGCAAUUCUGCAGCUGUUUGUUCUCUGUAUCCCCACAUUGUUUAAAAAAAUGAGGAAUGAUGGUAGUAAAAAUUACACUUGCUCAUUCAAAUAUCUUGCUGUUUACAUAUGAGAAGGAUCAUGUGCUGGGGUGCAAUGAUCUAAUGAGAGAUUCAACGUAGCCUUCAACAAGAGCUGGAUGGGACCCUCAAAAUCUGCUGCUUUCACACAAAUUGUCCUCCAAUAUAUAUAAUGAAAACCUCCUUUUGUUUAUAAUGACAAAUGCCACAGGGGUUGUAUAUUUUUAUGUUAUUUUUUCUCUAGGAGUGUUUAUUAACAAAUGCUUGCAAGUUUUAUGAUGUGGUGAAAACUAUAUCUCUCAUGAUAAACAGGAAGUGCUCAGAGGUAUUGCAUUACCCCAUAAUGCAACACAGAUUCCAACAGCUUGGCUCUUUUUCUCAAAAUAUGGUGAUACUGCUUUGUUUAGGAAAUCUCUCUUCUCUUCACAGCUUUUAUCUGCUAUAGAUAUGCAAAAUUGCAAAAGAAAUAUUUGUUUUUUAAAAUGAUGAUUCAUCAGUUUUCGACUGUAGAAACUGAGGUCUGUAAUUUAUAUAAAAUCUAUGAAAAAUAAGCAGUAAAGACCCUUUGGGCUGUCAGAUCAGUGGAUUUGAACAAAGAGCAAGGAAAGGAGACUGAUACCUGCCCUCCCUCCAGCAGCACAGGUGUAGACAGCAAAGAUGCAGAUUUCCCUGCAGCCAUAAACCUGGUGCUGCCUCUUCUGCACUUCCACGUCAGCAAGGUCAGGACCUGCCCAGCAGAGAAGAGGGAAUCCUGUUUCCUUGUCACGUGCCCAGGAAGGCUCAGUGUGACAGUUUUUUUUGUGGAACCUUCAUCCAGAAUUGCUGUGCUACGGCCUCAGCUUGCUCCUAAAGGCUGCCCUGCACUCGUCAUGGAAUGUACAGCCAUCAAUGCUGGCUGAAUGUUCAACCCUGGUGAAAAUCUCAGAAUGCCAUUAGUAUAUUGUCCCCUAUCACUUGUUUCUGUUCAGCCACUGCCCGUGGUUUAGAUUACAUCUAAUAACAGCAGACAAGUGGGACGUGUACUUGUGCCAUCAGUCAUCAGCCACGUGCAUUUGUGAUGAACGUCACCCCUGCAGACGCCGACGUCAGGGAAAGCAAGUCCUGGUGAGCUCUUUUUAGAAGGCCUGGCAUCAGUCCCCAAACUGGUUCUCCAUGAAUAGACUUGUGUGGCUGCCAGGGGCUUCACUUGCACACAGCCAGUGGGGUCUGGAUAUUACCCCUCCAACCAGACCCUUCUAUUCCUACAGCUCAGUCCCACUACCUGUUCAUUUUACUUUUAAUUUACAUUCCUCCCCCCAUAUUCUCUUUUACUCAUUCUUGCACCACUCUUUUUCCUCUGUCCUCACAUCAGCCAACCUCUUCAUUACAGAAGUUCCCUACAUUUUUAGCUAUGAGCAAAAAGCCUUAAAAAUGCAAUAUUAGGACAACAAAAAAUCCUAAUAAUCCUGUUUCUACACGCUUUGACUUGUGCCUCUGCUGGAGGCAUCACUUGUCCUGCCUACAGCUGAACCAAGAAUAAGUGUGGGGGAAACACACUGCAUGUUCUAGUAUCUGUAAAUUAUUAGACUUCUGAGGUUAUGUAAUAAUUUUAUCUCAUUUUUAAAAUUAUUUUCUUAGCAAUCAAUGAUACCAGAAAUGCAGAGAUCAAGAGACUGAUAUUAGGUACUAGCUAAAUCUUAUUGUAAAAACUUAAUAGCCUUCCAGUGUAUAAAGCUUCAGCAGCAGAAAACAAGGGUCAUACAGCAGGACCUCAGUGAACUCACAAGUCAUUGUAAUAUGCUGAGUAAAUAAUGAAUAUAUGUAUGUUUUGUUUUGUCAGUCCUGUAAAAUAACUUUUUAUCUGGUGAUUCAAUUCUCUUAUCACCCCCAGCUUGUUUACUGAAUUUUAAGUCUUGGGCAAGAUGAAGCAAGCUCAUGAGGAGUAGCUGGUUUUCAAAAGAUACAAGCUCCAGAUAACAGAGGACAAGUAAGGCACACAACAAUAUUGAAAUCACUCAGAGUUUUAUUGCAGCUGACUGAGACAGAGUGUGCUUUGAGGCUGGGAAAUUUCCAUUACUGAACUGCAGGACAGUGCCUGGAUACUGCUACUACUGCAGUUGAAAAAUAAAAGCAACUUAAUUUUAUACAAACAACAACAAAAUGUUAAUUAAAAUAGCUAGAUUUAUGUGAUAAGCCUUUAAGGUUGCUGUAAAAUGGAUCUCUUUAAAAUAUUUAGAGUAUGAUUGCAAACUGCUUGUUCAAAACUAAGGAACAUAAAAAUUACUUGAAAUUGCAACUGUGUUUUCAAGCCAUAUUUGUGAACAGCAAAUCUAACCAGAACAUGAUGGAUAAUACAAGACAUCUCCUAUAACAGUGACAGGUUCUGACAGUGACAGAAUGAUACCCAGUGCAGGAUCAAGGCUGUUACUGACAGAAUCAUUCUGCAAUUAAUAAUCUUUUGUGCUCCCCUUGGCAUGCACAGAACAACCACAGCAAUCUGUUUACUCAUCUUAACUCCAUGGUGUCUAAGCCACAGUAAGCUCCACGCAAAGUCCAUCAGAAUGUUGAAUGCAGAAAAAAGGAAACACUGGGGGGAAAAGCCAAUUUGCUCUGGCACCAAGUGCCUAGCAAUUUGGGUGAGAGAGUGUUUUUAACCUCCCAGCAGUGCAAGAUUACAGCAAGAGCCUCAUUUUCCUUGAGGGGCCUUUACGCUGCCAAAGCAGUGGUCAGCAUUCACAAGAAGCUCAAGGGAUUUCUGCUGUGUGUCACCCGUUCAGUCAAGCCCAGGUAGGUACUGACUAGAAGUUAUCAGCAGCUGAUGCUCUUUCUGAGUCUUACAAUUGUUCCCUGUGGAUCAGAGCUCAGAUCUAAGCAAUUUCAGGAACCAUCACCAUGGUUCCUGAGUGUCUUUGAAGUUAAAAUAUAUCUUUAUAAAACAUUUUAACAUGUCUUAUUUCUCUCCCUCAUCACCCCCGCACAAAGGCUUGAGGUCUUUUAAAAUAAUUCUGCUAAAAUUGUAUAUAUUUAAUGCCUGUGUUUUGUUGGGAUGAUGGGGAGGUUCAGGUUCAUGCUGACAUACUCAGCAUGUUACCAAGAAAGCUAUGGCUGCAAUGUCCCACGUAAAUCACACAGCCAGUAUAAUUAUGAUGAUUUUAGGAGAUGUGGCUUCAGUUUUAAAUUAGCACAAAGAUCUGAGAUGCCUCCCACCCCCACUACGGAGGGGCACUGCAGGGCAGCUCCGUGGUGUUUGUCCUUGGCCUGACCCAGCACUGCUGAUCCCAGGGCUCGGGGGCCUUGUGGUACAAUGUUCCCUUUUCAAGAGACCUAUUUACAGAACAAGAAUUAACAGUUAAAGCAGAAACGAGUAACAGUGCAGGGAAUUUCUAGACCCUGGUGCAGGAUGAAUUCAUUCAUGUGACUCCUGAACUUGACUGAAGAUGGAGACAAUCCAAACCAUGGCAUUUUUACACUGAGUUAGCUUAUGGCUUAGCUUUUUCUUAAUAUUCCUGCUUCUGCUUACACAAACUCU